UACGGGGGGAGCAAGCGUUGUUCGGAUUUACUGGGCGUAAAGGGCGCGUAGGCGGCGCAACAAGUCACUUGUGAAAUCUCCGGGCUUAACCCGGAGCGGCCAAGUGAUACUGUCGUGCUAGAGUGCGGAAGGGGCUACUGGAAUUCUCGGUGUAGCGGUGAAAUGCGUAGAUAUCGAGAGGAACACCUGCGGCGAAGGCGAGUAGCUGGGCCGACACUGACGCUGAGGCGCGAAAGCCAGGGGAGCGAACGGG
rnacentral:rRNA from 1 species